AAUAAGGAAUUCGGCAAAUAAUUUUUUCGCCUGUUUAAUAAAAACAUGUCUUAUUGAUUUUAAUUUUAAGUUUGACCUGCUCAAUGAUUUUUAAAUAGCUGCAGUAUUUUGACUGUACAAAGGUAGCAUAAUCAUUAGUUUUUUAAUUGAAAGCUUGUAUGAAGGGUUUGACGAGAAAAAUUCUGUCUUAUUGUGAUUUAAUUAGAAUUUUAUUUUUGAGUUAAAAAGCUCAAAUAUUAUUAAAAGACGAGAAGACCCUAUAGAUUUUUAUAUUUACUUAAAUAUUAUUUUUAUAAUUAUUUAUUUAAUAAUAUAUUUGAUUGGGGUGAUUUAAAAAUUAGUUUAACUUUUUAAAAAUUUAAACAUAUAUUUAUGAGCAUAUGAUCCAUAAAAAUGAUUAAUAGAAUAAAUUACCUUAGGGAUAACAGCGUUAUUUUUUUAGAGAGUUCUUAUCGAUAAAAAAGAUUGCGACCUCGAUGUUGGAUUAAAAUUUAAUUUUGGUGUAGAAGCUAGAAAUUUAAGUCUGUUCGACUUUUAAAAUUUUACAUGAUCUGAGUUUAAACCGGUGUGAGCCAGGUUGGAUUCUAUCUUUAAUAAAAAAAAAUAUUUUAGUACGAAAGGACCAAAUAUU
rnacentral:rRNA from 1 species